AGCAUGGUGUAGUAGGUUAAGCACUGGAUUAUAACUCCGGAGACCAGGGUUCAAUUCCUAGCUGUGCCA